rnacentral:rRNA from 1 species
AUUGAACGCUGGCGGCAUGCUUUACACAUGCAAGUCGGACGAGUGGCGAACGGGUGAGUAACGCAUCGGAACGUACCGCGUAAUGGGGGAUAACUGUCCGAACGGACAGCUAAUACCGCAUAUUAUUCGAGCGGCCGAUGUCUGAUUAGCUGGUUGGCGGGGUAAAGGCCCACCAAGGCGACGAUCAGUGGCGGGUCUGAGAGGAUGAUUGGCCACACUGGGAGUGAGACACGGCCCAGAGUGCGACGGGAGGGAGCAGUGGGGAAUUUUGGACAAUGGGCGGAAGCCUUAUCAAGCAAUGCCGCGUGUCUGAAGAAGGCCUUCGGGUUGUAAAGGACUUUUGUCAGGGAAGCGGUACCUGAAGAAUAAGCACCGGCUAACUACGUGCCAGCAGCCGCGGUAAUUC